AAUAAAAACUCUUACUUUUCUUUCUCGUUCUUUUAUUUUUCUCUUACCUUACUAUAUCUCACCGCUCUUUGUUCAAAAACUCCUUAUGGCUUAAGGUCUGAUCUUCUCGCUCGAUUCUCGAUUCUCGAUUCAGGUACUUGCUUUCUGUUUUAACGAGUUUUUUUAUAUACAUAUAUAUUUACAGUUGUGACUUAUGUAUGGAUUCUUUAUAAUUCUUGACACGAGUUGCAUCUGGAUUUUUUUAAAAAAAAUUAAGCUUGGUUUAGGAGCUAAUUUUGAAUCCAAAUUUUGGGUUUAUUUUCUUUGCGUGCUUGAGUUUAAUGGGUUCUUGUGAAUUUCCUUAAUUUUUGGACUUUGCUUGCAUGAUUUGAUGAUAUACAGAUCUGGGCACUCGUUUUUAGUUGCUGAGAAACUAAUAGAAAGAAUAUGGGCAUAAAGACUUAGUUGCUUGAGGUGGCUGAGACAAAAAAAAAAUUAUGGACUGUUGCUUAGUGUGUUUUGUUUUGUGGGCUCGUUCAUGAGAACUGGGAAUUUUAAGGUUUUGAUCUAUGUAUCUUUUGUAUUUUGUUUGUUUAUAAAAUUUCAAAGAUGGGUGUGUGUGUGUGCGCGCGUUAUGGUUUUCGUGUGUGGGGCACUCAAACAUUUUGCUCAAGUCUUAUCAUGUUCCAUUUCUUUUAGUUCUGGCUAUAUCAAAAUGAAACGUCGUUUAGAUUCAGUGUUUCUUGGUGAUGUGAAAUUAAUUCCCUUUUCUGGAGUUGUCUAUUUAAAUUAAAACAGUGGCACAGCUUUGAAUGCUGUUCAAAAGUAUGAAAUAGAAGAAUUUGAAUAGUUUCUAUAUGAAGUUCUUGUGUUUUUGCCAGUUCACGAUUUUGAUCCCAUAAUGCGUACUUUGCAAUAUGAACUUGGUGGGACUUAAGUGACUGUUAAAUUGAGUUGGAUUUAUAAAUAAUGUUCCAUAUUCAACUUCAUGUCUUAUUAUUAGUGAUUUUUAUAUUUCUUCUCUCCUUUUCAUACCUUUCAGUCUCUUUGAAACUGAUUUCUCUUUCCUGUUUUGUUUCCUUGAGCAAGAUCAACUUUCACUGAGGCAGGGCAGGUCAUUUGGAGAUGAUACGUACUGGUUUUAGGGUAGAAUGUGAAGGAUAGUACCUGCAAAAGAGAUUAUUGGAAAAUUUUGUUACUUGAUCAGAUUGGC
rnacentral:lncRNA from 1 species